CCCUAGCCCCGCGCUUGCACGCUCCCUGUCGCGCCACCGCCCCCGCCUUUGCUCGUCUCGUGCCGUCGGGUCGUUUCCUCCUUCCCAGAGGACGGGGAGCCGGAGCUGCCCCCGCGCGUCGUCGAUCAUCUCCUCGCUGGCUGGACACCGUCGACCACGAAGCCGGUCUUCUCUAAGCGCGCGCCGCCGUAUGGGUCGCCAAGAUGCCGAGACCGAGGCGGAGCUCCAGGCCAUCGAGGCCGCGUACGCCGCUGAGUCUGCGAGGCGUCGCCACCUCCCCGACUGGUCCAAGACGCCAGCCCCCCGCCCCCGUCCGCCCACGGCCCAACCCAGUCCCCGCGACCGCGUGUGCCUCCUCGCCGCCGUGGGUGCUCUCUCCCCCACUUGCCAAGGACAACUUGGAACAGCUUGUGUGUGCCUCUCAGAUUCCUACAGAAGAAAGGAUACCUUUUCUUUUUUAUUGGAUGGACAACAACAUAACCACAACAAUAGAUCUAUCAGUUCUGCGCCGGUUGGACGGUGUUCAGGCGCAACCCCGGCACCCACUGAGUACUGCCUCUGCUACAACCUCCCUCGGCGAGCUCCAUCUUCCUCCCGCUCCUCUGCUUCGGCUACUAUAUGGGGCGAAAUAAGGAUUCCAGUCACUCUCCCGCUUCCUCAGCGAUUUGGGCUUCCUGGCCGUUGGAUCAAAGCGCUUGAUGCGAUCUGAGCCGUCGGAUCGAGCCCUAGAAUGACCUCGUCCGUCGAAUAAAAAAUAGUUACUGCUGCAAUGAACAGUUUCACCCCGUUCGUGCCACCGCGCGUAAAUAUCCUGCCCUGCCGGGGGCAUUUUCGUCCUUUCACUCGCACGUGGUAUAAAAGGCGCCGGCCCGGACCUAGCCGCUCUCCAGCCCGCACUCGCGCCCCCUCUCUCGUCCUCGCCGCCCCGCCCGCAUCGCCCCGCCCAUUGGAUCAAAAAGAGACACUUAGCUGGCGCAUGGCUAUGAUGAUCGGUUAUGGCUGUUAUAAGCAUGCUCUCUAGCAAUCGAGGCACUUGUGGGUAUUAAGUUCGAUCUUCCCUUGUUUCUUUAAGCCAUUCUGAUCAUGUGCUUAUUUUAGUGGCUCUACCCUUGGAUGGUCAUUUCUGAUGAGUGAUAACCAGGGCAGUUUCACCCUUGUGAGAACACAUUGAUCUGGCGAUGGAGACACUAGGGGAAGGGUCAUGAUCGAGCAAAGGCGAAUCUGAGCCCAUGUGUGUGCUGGCUCCUGGUUAGUCUGUGCGUCGAUGAGGUGAGGGAGGCCAUUCUUUCUAGGGCGAUGAUGAUUAACCGUGACUGAAAUAAGUGUGCAUUUGAGCAAUCGAGGCACCUGUGGGUAUCGAGUUGGAUCCUCCCUCUUGUUUCUCGAAUCCUUUUUGAUCAGGUGAUACUUAUUGUUCUGUCCUUGGAUGGCCACUCUUGUUGAGAGAUAACCAGGGCAGCUCCAUUGUAUAAACAGAUUGAUCUGGUGAUAAGAGAUGACGGGAGUAGGUUAUGUGAUCGAGGAAAGGUGAAUCUGAGCCCACCACACAAUGAACCCUUUAUUUGUAUUUAAAGGUGUCGCUUAUUUAUGCUCCAGUGUUUAUAGCCGUCUUGUAUACAGAUUUCUUCUCUCUCAUACCUUUAUUGCAUAUAAUUUGUUCUUGAUAUUUAUUGUUUGUUGUUGGUCCUUGAUUUAAUCUGGUUAAAAGUAGGUUGAACUUUAUUAUGCUAGACAGACUCGCUCCUAGUAUUUAUAAUUGUCUUAUGUAAUGAUUUCACUGUUGUACUGUUAGCAUCUUGAUGUGAUAAUUUGGUUACUUAGUUUGUUUUUGAUUCAAUUGGUCCCUUAGUUACUUCCUCGGUCCACAUGGCUGCGACCGAAUAGAUUUUCUGUAUUUUUGUAUAUUUUGCUCAAAUCCCAUGCACCCUUUAUGCCUUUUCUAUACAUUUUUAAAAUUCUGAGCUUCAUGAAAGUGGAACAUUUCUGUUCUCUUGUUGGUUAUAAAGAUAGCAGUUCGCAGGUUGUUUUUAUUCUUACUAUAAUUUUGUAAUUGCUUUUCCAUGUAUCUUUUAAGCACUGAAGGGCACAACUAAUUUGUUGUUGGUUUCUUUGUGGUGUAUCGAUGUCUAAACCAUGUAUGGGCCUGACACCGGCGGUACCUGAAUACACCGCCCUGGUUACUAUCGACCCUUCCCGACCAACAUGGGUUGCUGUGCCACAUGACCAACUCCACUUUGCCCUCAAGUUAUGUUUUUAUGUUAUGUUCAGCACAACGACUGCCCCGAAUAUUCAGCAAAAUGUCGCACCCUCGUGCCACAAGGCUACUGAUCUCCUUGCUUCCAGGUCAAGGAAGGAAACCAUGUCAUCAUUGUCCAGUGCAGGUUGCCGCCGGAACCAGAUGGGGUCUCCAGCCAGCCUGCCAUGUGGCUUGUAGUCCUGAUUGUUGGCAGUUAUCCUUACAUAUGUAUAAGGGUUUACUUUGUUAGUAUGACAAAGUGAAGACAGAACUGAUGUAUUGAAUUACUAAUUGAGUGGUUUUGAUGAGAACUGAAACCUUUUGCUUUCAAGGUUGGACAUUGAUAUUUAAUAGAGAAAUUCAGUUCAUAUGGAGCAAAGCAAAGGCAUGUAAUACCUUGCAUUGACAGUGAUUAUUUUCCCAUUGUGGUACUUCAAAUCUGAUGAAGAAUUUAUUUCAUGACUGAGACAUGGGAUUUGGAGAAUCUCAGUUAUGGCAUGUU